GCCCUACGGGGGGCAGCAGUGGGGAAUAUUGCACAAUGGGGGAAACCCUGAUGCAGCGACGCCGCGUGAGUGAAGAAGUAUUUCGGUACGUAAAGCUCUAUCAGCAGGGAAGAAAAUGACGGUACCUGACUAAGAAGCCCCGGCUAACUACGUGCCAGCAGCCGCGGUAAUACGUAGGGGGCAAGCGUUAUCCGGAUUUACUGGGUGUAAAGUGAGCGUAUACGGCAGCGCAAGUCUGGAGUCUA
rnacentral:rRNA from 1 species